UGGCUGUAAUGGUCGUAAGUCGAGGAGGUUGCCGUAUCCCAGCGGACCUCUCCCCGAUCACACCAACGGAAGUACGGUGUCCGGUUCGAACUUUGUGGUAGUUCUCAACUCGUGCGGGUAACCCACGAAUCGCUUGUGGAGCUCUAAGCAAUGAGAAUGACCCUUGAGGGAAGCAAUUCUGCAGAGACAUUCUCACCAUGGAGUGGCGGCGCCGGAUCGCACCGACUUCUGGUAUGGGACGGGUUUGCUGGGCUGGUGAUCAACUUUU
rnacentral:SRP_RNA from 1 species